AUGCACAAUUUGAUGUCCUUAAAGUUAAGAUUUCAGUGUAUAGACACUUUAAGGUGGAAUCAUUUUUGGAUGCCGUUUGUCCUGGUUUUCAUUUUGGAUCUCUUCUCCUGCACCUCCCCUCCCCCCACCCUUGCAGGAGCACCGUGCGGCAAGUCACCAGGGUGGUCCGUCCAAGCUGCGGAUUUGUGUGUCGUCCUUGUAAGGCAGUCUCCUCCUCCGCGGCCCCUACAGGGAAGUGCCUCACAUAUCAGCACACCGGAGCAAAAUGAAAGAAUUUAUUCUGAGGCCUCAAAAGUAGAGCUGCUACAGACCCUGAGCAAGAAGCAGUGGACUUCUGCCUGCACGGAUGGUCUUGAAACACGAACGGUUGUGGGUCUAGGCAUUUUACACUGA
rnacentral:lncRNA from 1 species